rnacentral:lncRNA from 1 species
UUUUUUUUUCCUUUUUUGUAUAUAUAUUUUUUAUGACUGCACCCAGGGCAUAUGGAAGUUCCUGAGCUGGGUAUUGAAUCCAAGCUGCAGCUUCAACCCAUACUGCAGCUGCAGCAACACUGGGUCUUUUAACCCCCUGGGCCUGGGAUCCUGCUCAAUAGGAGUCUUAAUCCACUGUGCCACAUUGGGAACUCUCCCAUUUCUUUUCCAUCUAAGCAAAAUUUUAGUCACCCUUUACGGUAGUUUAACUCUGGACUUAUAGUAAUUUAAGAGCAUACAUUCUAUAAGAAGUAAUUACAUAAAGUCUUUUUUUGAAUAACUUCUUUGAUAACCCUUAUUAAUGAGUUAAUAUCAUCCUUAAUGAUAAAAGUUUUUUUUCAAAAUAUCUAGAACUCCAGAACUAACUUGCAUUUAGUCAUUUGCUCAAGCUAAGCAAAAAAUACAACUUAAGCUUUUUGGUGUUUAAACAGUCAUUUCUUUCCCUUGACCUAAUUUCUAGCAUCAGCAACAUAACUAACUUUGGAAAAGGAGUGUUUCAUCUGCAAAGUGAAUCUGAAAAAAAAAAGGAAAGUGAAUUUGGGCAUUGCUCCCAAAUAUGUUUCAUGUUGCAAAAGAGUUUGUGAUUAGCCAUUCAUAAGAAAAGUAUGCAAUGUGAGAAUUCUAUGACACCUUGUGUUAAGGAAGCUUCUUUUAAUGGUAAGAAGUAGAAUCACAGGCUUUAAUAUGUAGCCCUAUGAGAUGGGUGGAAGGGGAGGAAGAGAAUAGUUAAAUGACUUUAAAAUGAGAUUGAUUUUUAUCUUUUUCCUUCAAAGAAUAUGAGAGAGAGUUAUAUUAAUUGGUUAGUGUCUAUGUUAUAGACUUUAAAAAUAAAGGAUAAUUCAUCCUGAUUCUGUAAUUACCAGUUAUACAAACAGCAUGUGACAAGUCUGACAAGCAGGCUUUUUCAACAUGGAAUAGAUAUUACUAUAGUAAAUGUGUUAGAUUUAUAAAUCAAGGUUAUGCCAUUUGAUAAAUUAUUCCCUUUAUUAAUAGGCGAUAUUAUUUAAGUUCAUAUGCUACUUUAAAAAAUGUCUAUAUUGUGUGUGUUACUGAUUAGCAAAUAUAUCAUUAAACUUGAUUGACCAGUAAAAAUCAUUUUCCAAGGCAUUCUAUAGCACAAUUGUAUAUGGUCUUCUGGACAAGUGUUAAGAGGGUUCUUAGAAUAGAAAAUUGUAUUAUUGAUUAUAAGAUUAUAAAAUCACAAUAAAAGAGGCUGAUAGAUCACAGGAAGACUAUGAUCUGCUCUAUGACAACACUGUUCUAGACUGAGUGUUGGGUUAAGAAGAAUCCAUCUGAUUUCCAUAACACACUGACUAAGCUAAAGGAAAGGAAUGCAUAAACCCAUUUGUGCCAUACACACAUAUCAAAAAAGAUUGCUAAAAUUUUGCAUCUGGUUCUCAGUGUCUAGGCUAAACAAUGUCCUAUAAAUGACCCCAACUGGUAUCAGCAGGAAACUAUUAUCAUUCUCCCCAUUUUACACUUUAGCCUGGGGUCAGAAAGGUCUAAGCUGCUCAAUAUUCCUAUUACAUUAAUGACACAAUUAUUACAGAGGGAUCAACUUCAUGCUGCUAAUAUAGACAUGCUUUUGGAAGCAAUUUCUGGCUCUGCUGGUUAAGGCAAUCUAUUAGGUCAUCUGUAAUCUUUGCAAAAUCUAGUAGAAAGGCUACAGACUUUGGACUUCUUAAGUAUAAAUUUUGGCCCUACAUUUAUUUGUAGAGUAACCUUGGAAAAUUUUUUAACAUCUCUGAUUCUCAAGUGGGGGAUAAUUGCUUCCAUCUGAUAGGAAUAUGGUUAAGACUCAUGAAACACAGAGAGGGAAAAAAGCUGUAAAAAUGUCUCAUACACAGUAGGCACUAGGUAAGUGGAAAUUAUAUCAUCAGGUACGGUACAUUAUUCAUUACUUUUUAAAGACUCUCAUCUUGAUACAAAAUAGUCAACAUCUAAAUAAUUUUUCUUCUCAAUACAAUGAAUGUUAUCUCAAAAGCACAGAAUAAAAAUACAUGAUGAGUGUUAAUAAAUGUAAAUUGUUCCUAAAAUUAUGAUCCUUAUGGUCAGGCAAGGUAGCUAAAGGUUCCAAGUGAUGGAAGUAAAUGCAAAAGUUACUGGUUCAAAGUCUCCACAGCUUUGGGCUUUGUGGCUUGCUGAAUGCAUGUAUUGCUUACUAUGUUCUUUUUUUUUUUUUCCUGCUGGGAAGGGUUUGACUUCUUUCUCCUUUAUUGUAUUUGUGAGUACAGUUUUGACAAACUGCAUAGACAAUGGAAACUAUAGGAUUCCAGACUGAAAACACUGAGUAAAACAACAAACCAAAUAACAAUCAAAAAAAAAAAAAAAGUUUCGCCUCUUAACUGCCACUACUGUCCACUUUUCCAUAGUCCACACAGCCAGUCUUCUUCUACAUACCUCAUAUAAUAUUUAAGCUAGUGUCUUAAGGCUUGAUUUAAUAAACACACAUUGGAACUCUACUUUGAAGCAACAUUCAUAUAUUUUAUAGAUAAUUACUCUUUAAUUUAUAGACAUUUUAAAAAUAUAUGAGUGAGGCCUACAAUGGAAUUAACAUGUAUUUCUGCUAAGUAAAUAUUUUCAUUUUAUUUUGCAUGCUAAAUAUUUUCUGGGCACUGAAUUACAUCAUAAAUAAUCUUGUUCAAUAUAAAGAAUCUUCUAAGUCUAAAUAGUGAUGAUCCUAAUAAGAACUCAUUUUUUCUCAAAUCCCUUAUCAUAAUGUAACAAAAUACAAACCCCAUAGCUGUAGGGAUUCUACAUAGAACUUUAAAUAUUAAGUAGUACUACUGUGUUUUUAGAAAAUAGCUAUUGAAUGAUUCCUAAAAGUCUUUAGAUCACAGUAAAAUUAGAAAGAAAAUUAUGACUCAUUUUUACAAACUCUCUGGAUCACAAAUUAGUUUGGUAGCAAAAUUACUAUAAAAAGUCAUACACAGCAUGGAUCAUGGGCAAAUUCCUAAAUUUUUAGAAUUUAGGAAAAAGCUAUUAUAAAGCAAUAUUCUUCAGGGCUGUUUCCUCCAUCGCUUAGUCUAAAUUUAAGACAUUGAAUUUUAAAGAGUAAACUAUGUUUAAAGAAAUUUGGUCUCUACCCAUUUCUCAUCUUUUAAAUGAGUCUUCGGUUCUUUAGAGCAAACCCUGUCUAGAUUUUGCUGAUCAGAUAAUGCUUUUCUUAAUUUGUGGUAGACCUAUUAUUCAUCAACUUUGCUACUCAUGCAUGGUAAGUAUUCAAUAGUUAUGAUAUCAUGUUUCUCUUGAUUUCUUUUGAAUAUCCCAUCUAAACUUCCAGUCAAUUUUUCUGAGCUAUCUUUCUAAUACAUCCCUUCUCUACUUUAGUUAACUGGGAUAAUUUUCAGUUUUUGCAGCCAAGAACUCUGACUGACAUAUAUGGUGAUCUGCUAAUGCUACU